rnacentral:lncRNA from 1 species
AUGCAUAUAAUGUUCAUGCACUGUAAUAGGGGGAGGAGAAAAGGGUUGUGCUUGGUUGUCGCAAACAAUAGCAGGCUUGCAAGGUCUUUCUUCAGCUGUCAAAACUUGUUUUCUCAUGAAUGCAGAAAGCGUUCAGCCUCCGUAGGAAUGUGUGCUGUCUUAAUGGUGAUUUUGCCACCUUUCGCCACAUUCCCAUUUUGGCAUCUUGUUUCAUUGCCCUUUUUUGUCUCAUAUUUCUUUAUGCCUCCUUGGGUUGAGUUGUUCUCUCGCCAUCCUAGAAACCACUGGAAUCUUAUGCGGUGCUCCUUACCAAAGCCUGUGUCUUACAGUGGCCUGAUGGCCAGCGAUGGUAAGUAGGGAUGCAUGAAUUGUACUCUGUGUAAAUUAGAGAGAGAACAUGGUUGCUGAUUUCAAAAGUAGUUUUGUAUUUUUAUGAUGUGUAAUUUGACCCAACAGUGUUACUUGGGCAUUCCCGGACUUAAUCCUUGUCCUGGACAUUAGCUCACUCAGCGAUCUUAGAAAGCGAUCUUUCAGCCUAAGCCCUCUCUGCCGUCCUCCAACUGUAGUAUGUUGGUAGUGUUGAUAAUAUAGGACUGUUGUAAAGAUUACUGAAAUAGUUGUGGGUUUUUCGGGCUCUUUGGCCGUGUUCUGAAGGUUGUUCUUCCUAACGUUUCACCAGUCUCUGUGGCUGGCAUCUUCAGAGGACAGGAGUCAGAACUCUGUCUGUGCUCUGGUCUGUUACUGAAAUAGUUAAUGUAGGGUGAAAUGUGUGAACAUGCAGAAAACACAGUAAAAAUGCUAACUAUGUUAUUAAUAACAUGUAGCAAAAUGGUGAACCAUAACUACUAGUAGGGUUGUCACUGUCCAAUUGCCUGCCUCUUCUCCCAUUCAGAGUGGAUGCCAGCUAAACAGUGCUGGGAACCCUAUUUCUUUUGGUAGUUUUCUUAUGUGUCACAAAGGCCAGUCAAUGCAAGAGAGCGAGUGUCUGGAAUUAACUACUGGCAGCUUGAGUGGGACAGCAUGGCAUCAUCUUUUGUGUUGAAUCACGCUGCUCAUUACCCUUUUCGAUGAAUUGACCAUUAUCUCAGGAUCUGUCCUCCUUUUUUUAAACCCCCCCUUCUUCCCAAAAGCCAAGUCAUUAAUAACAGUGGUAUAUUUGAGUCCCAUAAUUGUGACUCCACUCUAAAGAAUGCUGCAUGACAUUAUUUUGCUGUGACCUUGUACCAAGUCAUUUACCAACAG